AACGAACGCUGGCGGCAUGCCUAACACAUGCAAGUCGAGCGAGCUCUUCGGGUCUAGCGGCGCACGUGUGAGUCGCGCGGGGGAGUGUGCUCUUCUCUGCGGCAUACCCGCGGGACAGGGACCGUUAUAGCGCAUGCGCCCAUUGGGGGAACGGUUUGUCGCCGAAGGAUCAGCCUGCGUUGGAUUAGGUAGUUGGUGGGGUAACGGCCUACCAAGCCUGCGAUCGGUAGCUGGUCUGAGAGGAUGACCAGCCACACUGGGACUGAGACACGGCCCAGACUCCUACGGGAGGCAGCAGUGGGGAAUAUUAGACAAUGGGCGAAAGCCUGAUCCAGCCAUGCCGCGUGAGUGAUGAAGGUCUUAGGGUUGUAAAGCCCUUUCAGCUGGGAAGAUGAUGACGGUACCAGUAGAAGAAGCCCCGGCUAACUCCGUG
rnacentral:rRNA from 1 species